UCUUUUGGAUGAAUAAAGAAAGUGGUUUCUUGAGAUGGAAUCUACUCCUGGUGAAGAUGCUGUGAA
rnacentral:pre_miRNA from 1 species